CCUACGGGAGGCUGCAGUGGGGAAUAUUGGACAAUGGGCGAAAGCCUGAUCCAGCCAUGCCGCGUGUGUGAAGAAGGCCUUCGGGUUGUAAAGCACUUUCAGUGGGGAAGAAAGCCUUGGGGCUAAUACCCUCGAGGAAGGACAUCACCCACAGAAGAAGCACCGGCUAACUCCGUGCCAGCAGCCGCGGUAAUACGGAGGGUGCGAGCGUUAAUCGGAAUUACUGGGCGUAAAGCGCGCGUAGGCGGUCUGAUAAGCCGGUUGUGAAAGCCCCGGGCUCAACCUGGGAACGGCAUCCGGAACUGUCAGGCUAGAGUGCAGGAGAGCAAGGUAGAAUUCCCGGUGUAGCGGUGAAAUGCGUAGAGAUCGGGAGGAAUACCAGUGGCGAAGGCGGCCUUCUGGACUGACACUGACGCUGAGGUGCGAAAGCGUGGGUAGCAAACAGGAUUAGAUACCCGUGUAGUC
rnacentral:rRNA from 1 species